GUUGAAGGGGUUUUGAAUGGAGGAUAUGGUGUUUUAGAGCAGGGUUUGGUUUUGUUGAGGAGUUAUUGGCCUACGGUAUUGUUGGUUCUCAGGAUGUUUAAAGAACAAGGUUUGAUUCUUGCGGCGCUUCUUAGUCUUUCUGCAUUUUUUUCGAUGGCUGAGACAUCAAUAACUACGCUUUGGCCGUGGAAGGUGCGAGAGUUAGCUGAAAAAGAAUCUGACAAUGAAGGAGUCUUCAAAAUGUUGAGAAGUGAUGUUACUCGAUUCCUUACAACUAUACUCAUUGGAACAACCGUUGUCAAUAUUGCAGCUACAGCAUUAGUUACUGAGGCUGCAACUGCGGCAUUUGGUGAAGCUGG
rnacentral:misc_RNA from 1 species